AUCCUUUCUUGGCCUUUGUGCUAAGAUCAAAUGCAGUAUCUGUUCUUAUCAGUUUAAUAAAUCACACCAAUAUUUCCACUACUGUUUUUACACAGUUUAUUCAGAAGUUAAAAUGUGGGCAUUUUCCCCUGAAACAAAUCAUCCCCU
ensembl:snRNA U2 U2 spliceosomal RNA